CCCUAAACUCUCCCUCAUUAUCUCAAAGGCGCGCGGGGGUUUUGGAAACAAGACGAACAAUAUGAACGACGAACGAUCGCGGGUAUUGGGCAAACGAUGGGGGCUUGGGGGCCGGUCAUGGGCAGACGGCGCAAACGAUAGGGGCUCGGGGUCGGUCAUGGGCAAAAGACGCAAAAGGCGCAAACGAUAGGGGCCCGAGGGUCUUGGGUGGCUCGGUCUGGCGGAGGGGUCGUGGGUGGCUCGGUCUCGCAAAGGGGUCGUGGGUGGCAGUGGAGGUAGCGGUGCGACAAUGUGGCUGGGCUCGGCAUCGUGGAUGCAGGUGCAAGCGGGGGACUCGACAUCAUUGGCUCAAUCGACAAUAAGGCGUGGGGCAACCAUGAGUGCUGGGUUGUUUGGCAAGAUAACAUUGACCCGGAUAACAUGACUUAUAAGGUGUUAGUCUUCCAUCUCUAUAUUUUUUUUUGUUCCUUUUGUUUCUCAAGAAAAUUUUAGGGGCAAUUGGUUGUUUUGCAAGUUUGUAAAAAUAUAUAUUAAUUAUUUACUGGGUGUUACAAUUACUUCAGUAGUUUAAUCCAAAUUCUACAUGCCAAAAUCAGAUAUGAUAUCGGGUUUAAAGCUUUGUCCUUUUUUUUUUUUGCUAGGAGAAUCUUGUGUUUCUAUUGUGAUUUUAUAAUUUUUUCCCUGUUUUUGUUUGUAUGAUGUAGAAUUAAGAGAGAAAGAAAGAAGAAAAUCUUUGAGGUUUGAUACCAAUUCAUGUUGACCUAAGAGAAAAAGGAAUAGAAAAUGGAGGAAUUUAGAGAGACACAGAACGACAGACCAAAAAGUUGAAGAACUAGAGAGAGAGAAUCAAAAGAAAAACAGAGAUAAUUUUAUAACUCACUGUCAUCUCUAAAACUAUGUAGAUAGCUAGAUCUAUUUAAUUAUUUAUUGAUAGACAGUUGAGCAUAAUAAGAAACAUGGAGUUUGCUGAGUUCCUUCAUUUUGAGUUUCUUAAGGCUUUUACUGUAUAUUGAUCUAUUUGAAACUCAUUCGAUGGUUAAAAAAACAUAUUAUAUAUAUAUGACAAUAUGUAUAUAUAUUUGAAGAAACCUUUAUACACGUAUGCUUAUGACUUUGAAAUGAUUUUUUUUGUAUUAAGAGCUUGAGUUGUUUGCUUAUUAAUGAAACGAACUGUCCAAUCUGGUUUCUAAAUUCUAACCAAGAAGCUAAAGCUUUUAUUUUGAAGCCUUAAUAUUAUAUUGGUAUUUCAAUAUGUGCGAGUCUUUUACAUAUUUUCUAUUUCAGUUUCAAAGCUCUUUCUCACAAAAAAUCUCUCCCAAAAGUUUGUUACAUCUAAAUGAAUGAGAGUUUGUGAUAUGUAUAGAAAGAGUGGCUGAAGUAGACAAACUGUUAUGACAGUAAGGAUUUGAUGAAAUAAUUCCACAAUGGAUAUGUCAAGUUUAUCAGUUGUUGAGAGCAAUUGUGAAGAGCAACAGAAACUGUGGGCCAGGCAUUUUGAGAUGGUAGAUGAGAUUGUUGGCCAUAUCUCACGAAAGUCCAUUGACAUUCCAAAAUUCAUUUUGAUGUUUAUUUGUUGUUUUAGAUAAUUUGUUGUGUAAAUAUGAGUACAAUUUGUGUAUAUGAGUUUGCUUUUGGAUAAUUAGUAAAGAUGUAUUUUUAGAGUUAUGAUAUGGAAUGAAUUUUUGGUUUAAAAUUUACAUUAUAGUUGGAAUGUUAUGUUUUGGUAGUCUCUCAUUUGAUUCAAUGUAAUUUUUAAAAUAUAUAUAACAACAGUGACAAUAUUU